rnacentral:rRNA from 1 species
AUUCCGGUUGAUCCUGCCGGAGGCCAUUGCUAUCGGAGUCCGAUUUAGCCAUGCUAGUUGCACGAGUUCAGACUCGUAGCAUAUAGCUCAGUAACACGUGGCCAAACUACCCUACAGACCGCAAUAACCUCGGGAAACUGAGGCCAAUAGCGGAUAUAACUCUCAUGCUGGAGUGCAGAGAGUUAGAAAUGUUCCGGCGCUGUAGGAUGUGGCUGCGGCCGAUUAGGUAGACGGUGGGGUAAC